AUGGGAUAUGUGAAAGUAAAUGUUGACGCCUCUUUCCAUGCUGAGACAGGGGAUGGGUCUACAGGUGCUGUGAUUAGAGAUGGCCAGGGUGUCUUCCUCGCUGGUUCUUGCUCAAUACUCCCCCAUGUUUCAGAUGCUCAUAUGGCGGAAACUUUUGCCAUGAAGCAGGGCUUGAUACUAGCAAAUGAGAUGGGCUUCCAUUCAGUUCAGAUAGAAUCAGAUGCGAUUGGUGUAAUUGAUGCAUGCUCGGGACAUGAUAGGAUCUGGACGCAAGCUUCGGCUAUCUAUGCAGAAAUCUUCAUUCUCGCAGGGAUGAUUGGUUCUGUCCAAUUUAUGCACUGUAAUAGGGAAGCAAAUGCUGCUGCACACAAACUAGCUAAGCAUGCAUAUGAUAGUAACUUCUCAUGUAACUGGGAAGAUGAGCCCAGAUUUCUUAGUCCAAGACCUUGUGAAUGA
rnacentral:rRNA from 1 species